rnacentral:rRNA from 1 species
UGGGGAAUAUUGCACAAUGGGCGCAAGCCUGAUGCAGCGACGCCGCGUGAGGGAUGACGGCCUUCGGGUUGUAAACCUCUUUCAAUAGGGACGAAGCGCAAGUGACGGUACCUAUAGAAGAAGGACCGGCCAACUACGUGCCAGCAGCCGCGGUAAUACGUAGGGUCCGAGCGUUGUCCGGAAUUACUGGGCGUAAAGAGCUCGUAGGUGGUUUGUCGCGUUGUUCGUGAAAAACUCACAGCUUAACUGUGGGCGUGCGGGCGAUACGGGCAGACUAGAGUACUGCAGGGGAGACUGGAAUUCCUGGUGUAGCGGUGGAAUGCGCAGAUAUCAGGAGGAACACCGGUGGCGAAGGCGGGUCUCUGGGCAGUAACUGACGCUGAGGAGCGAAAAGCGUGGGGAGCGAACAGGAUUAGAUACCCUGGUAGUCCACGCCGUAAAACGGUGGGUACUAGGUGUGGGUUUCCUUCCUUGGGAUCCGUGCCGUAGCUAACGCAUUAAGUACCCCGCCUGGGGAGUACGGCCGCAAGGCUAAAAACUCAAAAGGAAUUGACGGGGGUCAUAGCUGUUUCCU